GUACGCAAAGUUGCAGUAUUUGAUGAAAAUUUGAAAUUGAAAAUCACCAAUCUCUUUACUAGAAGGACAUCAGUAUAUUACUGCGAUGAUUGGAAAUCAUGGCUUCUCUUCUCCAAAUCGCAUCCGAUACCAUCAAUAGAUUUCAUCAGUCGGGUCGUUGGGAGAACAUGUUUGGCGGGUUGGCCAUCACGCUUUGAUUUUCUUUUUAAUGAAAGCACAUUUUUCUUUCCUCUCGCCUUGCCCACCACACACAUUUUACGUCGAUGUUGGCACACAUUCACUACCAGACACACGGGCAAGUUACAAGAAGAAAGUAAGGCAGAAAAAUAUUAAGGGAUGUUUAAAAAAAUAAUUAAAAAAUUAAAA